UUUUUAUAAUAGGUAAAAAGGUUGGAGAAUUAUUAAUAAUUAAAACUUUUAAAUUGGUAAUAGAUGAUAAGCCAAACACGAUAUUGAAUUUCAGCAAAUUUGAAUCGUUGGAAAUUCGUCGACUAUAUCUGACAGGUGAUAUCAUGGAGUUUUCUGUCAUUUCAAUAUUUGCUAUAGAAAUUUAAUCGCCAGGAAGUGCAUGUUCAAGAAUGUGUGACUGUGAGUAUUUUGAUUUUCUCUAUAGUCUAUAGUACAUCUUCUUUAAUAUAAUCGUAACAUUGCAAGUUUUGGGAUACAAAAACCUUUUUCGUUAUUACAGUUUAAGGCACUUCCUGGUUUGUUUUGCUCUAUGGUAGGGAUUUAACAGGGGAAAUAUUAUAGAUUGUUAAUAAUGUUUCUUUUUGUUACCCAGCAUUCAGAGAGGAAACCAGCCAUUGUAAGGGAAGUAGAAGUGAACUAUCUGAAUGGGCCCAGUCAGGUGAAGCCACUGCGGAAACUAACACUAAGGAUGUCCAAAAUCUUGUCAGGCCAAAUAGUUUCCCAGAAUCAUAUGGCAGAAGCAAGGAAACUAGCAAUCGUGAGGCAAACAUGGGUGGAUUAUCUGAAGUUGGCCUGUCAUGUAAAGAAACAACCAAUACUAUUAUUAAUGACAUAAAACAAUUUGUUAUUCAACAAAAUGGUAUUAUAGGACAGAAUGACAGGUCCCGUCUUGACCUGGAACUAUUUGGAAUAGCUAUACCAUGGACAACUUUUUAUGGCUGUGUCUUUUAUGUUCCAGAUUGUGAUUGCCCU